CAACUUUCAGCAACGGAUCUCUUGGCUCUCGCAUCGAUGAUGGACGCAGCGAAACGCGAUAAGUAAUGUGAAUUGCAGACACGUGAAUCAUCGAAUCUUUGAACGCACCUUGCGCUCCUUGGUGAUCUGAGGAGCAUGCCUGUUUGAGUGUCAUUA
rnacentral:rRNA from 1 species